UGGCGAACGGGUGAGUAACACGUGGGUGAUCUGCCCUGCACUUCGGGAUAAGCCUGGGAAACUGGGUCUAAUACCGGAUAUGACUACGAAUCGCAUGGUUUGUGGUGGAAAGCUUUUGCGGUGUGGGAUGGGCCCGCGGCCUAUCAGCUUGUUGGUGGGGUGAUGGCCUACCAAGGCGACGACGGGUAGCCGGCCUGAGAGGGUGACCGGCCACACUGGGACUGAGAUACGGCCCAGACUCCUACGGGAGGCAGCAGUGGGGAAUAUUGCACAAUGGGCGCAAGCCUGAUGCAGCGACGCCGCGUGAGGGAUGACGGCCUUCGGGUUGUAAACCUCUUUCAGUAGGGACGAAGCGUGAGUGACGGUACCUAUAGAAGAAGGACCGGCCAACUACGUGCCAGCAGCCGCGGUAAUACGUAGGGUCCGAGCGUUGUCCGGAAUUACUGGGCGUAAAGAGCUCGUAGGUGGUUUGUCGCGUUGUUCGUGAAAACUCACAGCUCAACUGUGGGCGUGCGGGCGAUACGGGCAGACUAGAGUACUGCAGGGGAGACUGGAAUUCCUGGUGUAGCGGUGGAAUGCGCAGAUAUCAGGAGGAACACCGGUGGCGAAGGCGGGUCUCUGGGCAGUAACUGACGCUGAGG
rnacentral:rRNA from 1 species